CCUACGGGCGGCAGCAGUGGGGAAUAUUGGACAAUGGGGGGAACCCUGAUCCAGCCAUGCCGCGUGUGUGAAGAAGGCCCUCGGGUUGUAAAGCACUUUCAGUGAGGAAGAACGCCUGGUGGUUAAUACCCAUCAGGAAAGACAUCACUCACAGAAGAAGCACCGACUAACUCCGUGCCAGCAGCCGCGGUAAUACGGAGGGUGCGAGCGUUAAUCGGAAUUACUGGGCGUAAAGCGCGCGUAGGUGGCUUGAUAAGCCGGUUGUGAAAGCCCCGGGCUCAACCUGGGAACGGCAUCCGGAACUGUCAAGCUAGAGUGCAGGAGAGGAAGGUAGAAUUCCCGGUGUAGCGGUGAAAUGCGUAGAGAUCGGGAGGAAUACCAGUGGCGAAGGCGGCCUUCUGGACUGACACUGACACUGAGGUGCGAAAGCGUGGGUAGCAAACAGGAUUAGAUACCCUAGUAGUC
rnacentral:rRNA from 1 species